CGUAGGGUGCGAGCGUUGUCCGGAAUUAUUGGGCGUAAAGAGCUCGUAGGCGGUCCGUCACGUCGGAUGUGAAAUUCCGGGGCUCAACCCUGGACCUGCAUUCGAUACGGGCGGACUAGAGUUCGGUAGGGGAGACUGGAAUUCCUGGUGUAGCGGUGAAAAUGCGCAGAUAUCAGGAGGAACACCGGUGGCGAAGGCGGGUCUCUGGGCCGAUACUGACGCUGAGGAGCGAAAGCGUGGGGAGCAAACAGGAUU
rnacentral:rRNA from 1 species